AACCCAUGGUUAGGGCACUUUCUCAAUAGAUCAUUGUAUCUCUCCCAUGCAUUAUAGAGUGUUUCUAGAUCCAUUUGCACAAAAGAAGAGAUAUCAUUCCUCAACUU
rnacentral:snoRNA from 1 species